AAUGGGGGCAACCCUGAUCCAGCAGUGCCGCGUGUGUGAUGAAGGCCUUAGGGUUGUAAAGCACUUUCACUGGUGAAGAUGAUGACGGUAACCAGAGAAGAAGCCCCGGCUAACUUCGUGCCAGCAGCCGCGGUAAUACGAAGGGGGCGAGCGUUGUUCGGAAUUACUGGGCGUAAAGGGCGCGUAGGCGGUCUUUUAAGUUAGGCGUGAAAGCCCCGGGCUCAACCCGGGAACUGCGCUUAAAACUGGAAGACUAGAAAACGGAAGAGGGUAGUGGAAUUCCCAGUGUAGAGGUGAAAUUCGUAGAUAUUGGGAAGAACACCAGUGGCGAAAGCGGCUACCUGGUCCGAUUUUGACGCUGAGGCGCGAAAGCGUGGGGAGCAAACAGGAUU
rnacentral:rRNA from 1 species